AACAACAAACCUCUGUUUUGCUYUUCGAGCAGAGCAGCAGAAACCAUUCCUUUCACAGAUUAUUACAUGGAUCUCAAGACCAACAUGCCUUAAAACUGACAAAGGGAAGCAGUCUGCAGCCUCCAGCACCUCCCAUCUCACCCAGUCUGCAACACCAGUAACAGGCACAAAGGGCUGUCAGACUCAGCUGAAAAGCAUCUAGACCUUCAUCCACAGGAAGAAAGGUGAAUCUACCUUUAAUCAGACAAGAGAUAAAGAACUGCACAUAGUAAGUAUAGGCAGGUUACCAUCUUGCUCUAGGAUACCUACACCAGUGCCUGCAUUCUUGUUGAGUAAUAAUGAGAUACCAUAACCAAACAGUAGAAGAUGCAUGUCAGAUGGUUYUCCAAUAACAUUAGAAAAAAAGCAGCUGAUGUAUGGGAUAUUGAAG
rnacentral:lncRNA from 1 species